AAAUUUUGGGGUUAACUGGUUGCCUAUANCCGGGCUAGGAACGUUACCAGGUUACCCUACCUAUUUCAGCCUGUAUAUAUUUUUAAGACGGGGCUUAGACAUUCGCGGAACUUGGCUGUGACUCUGUGAUAACUGUUGGAAACGGCUGCUAAUACCGGAUGCCUUCAUUUGACCGCAUGGUUGUUUGAAGAAAGAUUUAUCGGUUUGGGAGGGUCUCGCGGCCUAUCAGCUUGUUGGAGAGGUAACGGCUCACCAAGGCUUCGACGGGUAGCUGGUCUGAGAGGAUGAUCAGCCACACUGGAACUGAGACACGGUCCAGACUCCUACGGGAGGCAGCAGUGGGGAAUCUUGCACAAUGGGCGAAAGCCUGAUGCAGCGAUGCCGCGUGCGGGAAGAAGGCCUUAGGGUUGUAAACCGCUU
rnacentral:rRNA from 1 species